rnacentral:misc_RNA from 1 species
CAAAGGCGAGCACCGCAUUUGCACCGCACGCCGUCUGCUAUCUCUGCUAGUUCGCGUCUGCAGCCGGCGUUGCGCUUUGACACAUCUGCUCCGUACGUCUUACCCGAGCGAAAGCGAGCCAUGUCUUCGACGUCAAAGAAGCACCGCAACUUUGUCUCUGAGCCCAUGGGAGAAAAGGACGUGACGGAGCUUGCUGGUGUUGGCGACGUCCUCGGCGGGCGGCUGAAAGACAGAGGGUUUGAUAAAGCCUAUGUCGUCCUUGGGCAGUUCUUGGAGUUGAAGAAGGACCGGCAAGGCUUUGAGAGCUGGAUGAAAAGUACCUGCAGUGCCAACAGCAAGCAAGCGGGAGACUGCUACGAGUGCUUGCGCGACUGGUCCCAGGAGUUCCUGUGAAGUUUGACUCACACGGGCGCCCACUGUAAAGCCCGGAUAAGUGGAGCGAACUUUCACAGCGAACAUCGCCCGGCACAAAUAGACGCAGUGGGACGGCGCCGACGGUUGGCUGGCAUCAUUUACAUAUUCGGCUAAAAGCAGACGGACGGCCACCGCGCAUAAAGUUUCUCACCAUAUUACCUAUAGAGGGAAAUCUGGCGCUGCUGCGCUGUGGUAUGCAUGGGAAUGCCGGUAUAUUGGGACUUCGGAUUGGCAUCGUUCUCGGCGAGCCAGGACGCCUUGAAGACGCGCCUGGCAAGCCGUUCCGUCUGUCACAAUGAUUCAUAUUCUACUAAAAUGGCACGUAAAAAGCUGUUUUAGCUUUAUUAUUAGACAAAGAUAUGUUUUGUUUAACUAUGAGAAGUUGUUAUUGCAUGUACAAUUAUAUGAUACGUAAGAAGUAUCAGUGGGCCCGCUAAAGUUGGAGGACAGACAAGAUUCGCGCUCGCUUUGAAACAGUUUGUCGUCUGUUCUUGCUUUUCUUCGCUUGGUCAUGCAUUGUAGGUGAGUAAAGAUGUAAUAUGCGUGAAUUGAAACAUUUUAUGAAAAUUUUACUUUAAGAACACGUUACUUGUGUAGCCAUAUCUACGUUCUAGACGAAGCCUCUUACAACACCAGCCAACACGAGCCUCGCAGACACAUAUAGCGUCAUUGCCAUGACGGCACGGUGCUCUUUAAGAAACUUCCAUAGACGGUGGCGUCAAAUUUCCCUCUAGGUGUUAGUGAGGAACUCUAUGCCACCGCACGCUCGCGGCGUAUUUGUCAGCGUUGCCAGACUCCUGGAAUGUUUUUUUGGAGUAAAAAAAAGACUAAAUAGCC